GCCUGGGUGGCUCAGUUAGCUAAGCUUCUGACUUCGGCUCAGGUCAUGAUCUCACAGUUCGUGGGUUCGAGCCCUACAUCAGGCU
rnacentral:tRNA from 1 species